rnacentral:rRNA from 1 species
UACAGAGGUCCCGAGCGUUAGGCGGAAUCACUGGGCUUAAAGCGUGUGUAGGUGGAUCGGUAAGUACCUUGUGAAAUCCCACAGCUUAACUGUGGAACUGCUUGGUAUACUGCCAGUCUUGAGCCAGCUAGGGGCUACCGGAACAAAUGGUGGAGCGGUGAAAUGCGUAGAGAUCGGAAAGAACACCAACGGCGAAAGCACUCUCGCUGGGCCGACACUGACACUGAGAGACGAAAGCUAGGGGAGCGAAUGGG